AGCGAACGCUGGCGGCAGGCUUAACACAUGCGAGUCGAACGAACCCUUCGGGGUUAGUGGCGCACGGGUGCGUAACGCGUGGGAAUCUGCCCUUUGCUUCGGAAUAACAGUUAGAAAUGACUGCUAAUACCGGAUGAUGUCUUCGGACCAAAGAUUUAUCGGCAAGGGAUGAGCCCGCGUAGGAUUAGGUAGUUGGUGGGGUAAAGGCCUACCAAGCCGACGAUCCUUAGCUGGUCUGAGAGGAUGAUCAGCCACACUGGGACUGAGACACGGCCCAGACUCCUACGGGAGGCAGCAGUGGGGAAUAUUGGACAAUGGGCGCAAGCCUGAUCCAGCAAUGCCGCGUGAGUGAUGAAGGCCUUCGGGUCGUAAAGCUCUUUUACCAGGGAUGAUAAUGACAGUACCUGGAGAAUAAGCUCCGGCUAACUCCGUGCCAGCAGCCGCGGUAAUAC
rnacentral:rRNA from 1 species